rnacentral:rRNA from 1 species
CCGCCGGCACGGCGCACGGGUGAGUAACACGUGUGCAACCUGGCCGUGACAGAUGGAUAACCGGGAGAAAUCCCGCCUAAUACAACAUAAUGCCGGGAGGGGACAUCCCCUGCCGGCCAAAGGGGGCGACCCCGGUCACGGAUGGGCAUGCGGCGCAUUAGGUAGUUGGUGGGGCAACGGCCCACCAAGCCGACGAUGCGUAGGGGUUCUGAGAGGAAGGUCCCCCACAUUGGAACUGAGACACGGUCCAAACUCCUACGGAAGGCAGCAG